UCGUUCUUAAGUUGUACUGUUAUACCACUGUCCCAGGUUAGGGGGAGGGUUGGGAUCCCGCUAACAUGUUUAACCCCGCCACAUUAUUUAUGUAUGUGCCUGUCCCAAGUCAGGAGCCUGUAAUUCAGUGGUUGUCGUUUGUUUAUGUGUUACAUAUUUGUUUUUCGUUCAUUUUUUUUACAUACAUAAGGCCGUUAGUUUUCUCGU
rnacentral:lncRNA from 1 species